UCCACAGUAGCUCAGUGGUAGAGCUAUCGGCUGUUAACCGAUCGGUCGUAGGUUCGAGUCCUGCCUGUGGAGCCA
rnacentral:tRNA from 1 species